GCCAGCGUGGCGUAGGGGUUUGAGUGUUGGACUAAGAUUCUGGAGACCAGGGUUUGAUUCCCAGCUUGGGCA